AUGUGCGAAACAUGCAAAAGAUGGUGGGGUGAUCCCGAUUACCGGGUGUCCCACAUGUCGGUGGCAUGGAAACAAGGAACGCGCAAGCGACAACUAGGACACGGUUCGAACAUGAGCAACUCAUACAUCACAAUCAUUCAUUCACGGGCGUUGUCUCGGCGGUUAUACCUUCGAAGCGUGCAUUUUCGGAAUGGAUCGGGUUCGACGGUAGUGGAAGUAGUUGUUCACGGGUCGCCGAGGGAAUUAGUGGUACACGACGACGGUAGUUGCACACGGGUCUUCGGCGACGGUAGUGGUACACGUUUUCGUAGAUGUUCGGGGUCGUCGGUAGAGGUACUUGACGUCCACGGGGUCGAUGAUAGAGUUACACACGUUGUCGGGGUACUUGUUGUUCCGGUCUUGGCGUCCGUAGAUGUACCCGGCAAUCGUGGUGGUACUUGGCGGUUCCGUGUAGUCGAACUUGACGAUCCGAGGGGGUACUUGGCGCAUCACGGUGUAGUUGUACAUGGGUCAAACAGAGGCAUUGAGACAUCUGGAGGGGCAUCGAGGGACUUGUCAAGGCCCUGCCUCGGGAGGUUACAAGAGGUGCGUGGAGGUAGCUCGAGCUGCUGGUCGUCGGGGCAUGGCCGAGCAGCGGCUGGAAGAAGUGGCUGGCGUUGGUCUUGGCAUGAAGCAAGGGAGGCGGAGCUCCUGCUAGGGCGAUGGCGGCGAGCAGGAAACGGAACUUGGCGUCGACGUACACGCGCAGCCGAGAGGAGCAACGACUGGACCGUACAGCCGUGGGCGAGGGACUCCGGGACGCGCGGAGGUCGAGGAACUCGGCCGUUGCGUGGCUUGGAGCAGAUCGGGCGUGAGGAAGGUCGGAGGCACCCAAAGCGAACGACGGAGGGGCGCGAAGGGCGGUGCUCGACGCUAAGAAGGUGGAGCAGAGGAAGGGGCGGAGCGGACGAGGCUGGCGAGUGGCGUGGAGCUUGA
rnacentral:rRNA from 1 species